CCUACGGGUGGCAGCAGUGGGGAAUAUUGGACAAUGGGGGGAACCCUGAUCCAGCCAUGCCGCGUGUGUGAAGAAGGCCCUCGGGUUGUAAAGCACUUUCAGUGAGGAAGAACGCCUGGUGGUUAAUACCCAUCAGGAAAGACAUCACUCACAGAAGAAGCACCGGCUAACUCCGUGCCAGCAGCCGCGGUAAUACGGAGGGUGCGAGCGUUAAUCGGAAUUACUGGGCGUAAAGCGCGCGUAGGUGGCUUGAUAAGCCGGUUGUGAAAGCCCCGGGCUCAACCUGGGAACGGCAUCCGGAACUGUCAAGCUAGAGUGCAGGAGAGGAAGGUAGAAUUCUCGGUGUAGCGGUGAAAUGCGUAGAGAUCGGGAGGAAUACCAGUGGCGAAGGCGGCCUUCUGGACUGACACUGACACUGAGGUGCGAAAGCGUGGGUAGCAAACAGGAUUAGAUACCCUGGUAGUC
rnacentral:rRNA from 1 species